rnacentral:tRNA from 1 species
GCCUGGGUGGCUCAGUUGGUUGAGCAUCUGACUUCAGUUCAGGUCACGAUCUCAUGGUUCGUGGGUUCAAGCCCCAUGUCUGGCU